UGUUGUAGGUGUUGUGGUUGUAGCAGUUGUUGUAGUUGACUGAGUUGUUGUUGUUGUUGUAGGUGUUGUGGUUGUAGCAGUUGUUGUAGUUGACUGAGUUGUUGUUGUUGUUGUAGGUGUUGUGGUUGUAGCAGUUGCUGUAGUUGACUGAGUUGUUGUUGUUGUAGUAGGUGUUGUGGUUGUAGGAGUUGUAGUUGUAACUGUGGUAGAUGCAGUUGAAGGACACCCACAACAUUUGAAUUUAAUCUCAUAUUCAAAACACUCUAGAUUGAGCCCUUGCUGUUUGUUGAUGCAUACGAGACCCACAUCUUUAUUGCAAGUCACAGUUUGUCCCAACUCUGGUAUGGAAAGACCUGGGUAAAGAACCGCUCUGCACUGGACUUCUUCUGGAGAUGAGCAAAUAUGAUAACCAGCAGAGAUUAUAUUCUGGAUUGUGUCAUUUUGUCCACCAUCAGGUCCCGGUGUAGGAUUUCCCAGAUUGAUCCAAUUUGACCAAUCACACAUGACAUCAUGUCCUCCGGGGCAAGGUGUAGGUUGCUGAGUUGUCACUGUUGUUGUAGGUGUUGUGGUUGUAACAGUUGUUGUAGUUGACUGAGUUGUUGUAGUUGUUGUUGUAGGUGUUGUGGUUGUAGGAGUUGUUGUAGUUGACUGAGUUGUUGUUGUUGUUGUUGUAGGUGUUGUGGUUGUAGGAGCUGUAGUUGUAACUGUGGUAGAUGGAAUUGGAGGACACCCACAGCAUUUAAAUUUAAUCUCAUAUUCAAAACACUCUUGAUUGAGCCCUUGCUGUUUGUUGAUGCAUACGAGACCCACAUCUUUAUUGCAAGUCACAGUUUGUCCCAACUGUGGUAUGGAAAGACCUGGGUAAAGAACCGCUCUGCACUGGACUUCUUCUGGAGAUGAGCAAAUAUGAUAACCAGCAGAGAUUAUAUUCUGGAUUGUGUCAUUUUGUCCACCAUCAGGUCCCGGUGUAGGAUUUCCCAGAUUGAUCCAAUUUGACCAAUCACACGUGACAUCAUGUCCUCCAGGGCAAGUUACAGGUGGCUGAGUUGUCACUGUUGUUGUAGGUGUUGUGGUUGUAGCAGUUGUCGUAGUUGACUGAGUUGUUGUUGUUGUUGUUGUAGGUGUUGUGGUUGUAGGAGUUGUAGUUGUAACUGUGGUAGAUGCAGUUGGAGGACACCCACAGCAUUUGAAUUUAAUCUCAUAUUCAAAACACUCUUGAUUGAGCCCUUGUUGUUUGUUGAUGCAUACGAGACCCACAUCUUUAUUGCAAGUCACAGUUUGUCCCAACUGUGGUAUGGAAAGACCUGGGUAAAGAACCGCUCUGCACUGGACUUCUUCUGGAGAUGAGCAAAUAUGAUAACCAGCAGAGAUUAUAUUCUGGAUUGUGUCAUUUUGUCCACCAUCAGGUCCCGGUGUAGGAUUUCCCAGAUUGAUCCAAUUUGACCAAUCACACGUGACAUCAUGUCCUCCAGGGCAAGUUACAGGUGCCUGAGUUGUCACUGUUGUUGUAGGUGUUGUGGUUGUAGCAGUUGUCGUAGUUGACUGAGUUGUUGUUGUUGUUGUUGUUGUAGGUGUUGUGGUUGUAGCAGUUGUCGUAGUUGACUGAGUUGUUGUUGUUGUUGUUGUAGGUGUUGUGGUUGUAGGAGUUGUAGUUGUAACUGUGGUAGAUGCAGUUGGAGGACACCCACAGCAUUUGAAUUUAAUCUCAUAUUCAAAACACUCUUGAUUGAGCCCUUGCUGUUUGUUGAUGCAUACGAGACCCACAUCUUUAUUGCAAGUCACAGUUUGUCCCAACUCUGGUAUGGAAAGACCUGGGUAAAGAACCGCUCUGCACUGGACUUCUUCUGGAGAU